CUCGGAGCCGCCGCCUCCCGCCGAAGCCAUCUCCGGAGCGGCGGACAUACAUCCACCGCCUCUGCCCGCUCCCGCCGGGACGUAGGGGCGGACGCUGUGCGCAUCGCUUCCGGGGCCGUGCGCGCAUGCGCGCAGGAGGCGCAGCGCUCAAGGCCGUGUCCCUGAAGAGCCUCAGUGACUCCAGAAUGACCCCGUUCUCUGGAGGCGGGGCCUGGAUGGAGCUCCACCUCCCGCCGAGCUACAUACUCAAGUGCUGAUCUAGACCAAGGUCUCCAGCCCACGGACCUGUGAACACCCCUAUUUCCUUAGCACCUGUCACCCACAGGGUUAGGACCGUCCCUACUAUGCUCAUCCCCAUCGGUGCCUCCUGCCACAGGUGUUUCUCCUCAGCUCCUCUCAAGACUUUCCCAGGGCCUGGAUUAUACUUAGAACACAGCAUGGCCACCUUAACCCCCAGCUGAUGGAUAUUUGCCAGCCAUUCAGACAUCCUUCAUGAAGGUGUGGAAACUUCUGUGAUGAGACCACCACAGGCAUCAGAUAAGAGCAAGUAAAAGGCUGGGCAUGUUAUUCUUUCGAUGCUGUGACAACAUACCUGAAGAAUGUGAGAGGUUAAAAUUUUCAAACUGUACUGUGGGAACUUAGCCAUUAGCUGAACUCAGUGGGAGACCGGC